rnacentral:lncRNA from 1 species
CCUCCAGGCAGCCCCCUUCCCCCGCCCGCUCCGGGUUCUGGCACAGCGUUCCUCCUGCUCCUGAGCCUCGGCAAAGCCCCCGGGACCAUCCUCCCUGCUCCAGGCACAGCGGUGGGGGAGCUCCGCACGCCCCAGCACAUCCUGCAGGGCGCAGGAGCCGCCUCCUCUGCCUUUGUUUCUGCUGGGAUUGCAGGAAAGGAGGGAAUGUGAGGCCGGAAUGAAGAUGUCAUCCCUGCGCCUCCACCCCAGCCAACACCAAGCCUCUGGUUCCUUCCUGGUUUUCCCUGCAAGAUCAUCUUAUACCAGGAGCAGGGAGAUGCCACAGGGGAAGCACAGAGUCUUCCCAGGCCUCAGGGACCCCAGCACAGGACCCCUCGGUGUCCCAGCACAGCACCCAUCAGUGUCCCAGCACAGCACCCAUCAAUGUCCUCAGCACAGCACCCCUCGGUGUCCCAGCACAGCACCCAUCAGUGUCCCCAGCUCAGCACCCAUCAGUGUCCCAGCACAGGACCCCUCGGUGUCCCAGCACAGCACCCAUCAGUGUCCCCAGGUCAGCACCCAUCAGUGUCCCAGCACAGCACCCAUCAGUGUCCCAGCUCAGCACCCAUCAGUGUCCCAGCACAGCACCCAUCAGUGUCCCAGCACAGCACCCAUCGGUGUCCCAGCACAGCACCCAUCGGUGUCCCCAGCACAGCACCCCUCAGUGUCCCAGCACAGCACCCAUCAGUGUCCCAGCACAGCACCCAUCAGUGUCCCCAGCACAGGACCCCUCGGUGUCCCAGCACAGCACCCAUCAGUGUCCCAGCACAGCACCCAUCGGUGUCCCAGCACAGCACCCAUCAGUGUCCCAGCACAGCACCCAUCAGUGUCCCAGCUCAGCACCCAUCAGUGUCCCCAGCACAGCACCCCUCAGUGUCCCAGCACGGGACCCCUCGGUGUGCCUGGCAUGGGAGCCCUCGCUGUUCCCACCGUGUCUGGCCCUUGGCAGCCUUGGAGCCGCAAGCAAACACCAAACCAGGGCUGGAUUAGGGAACUGGCAGUCCCAAAACGCCCCAGGGAAAAGAAUAUUCCCUUCUCCCUUCCUCC